AGUAUGGAGUUACAGAGGAAGGGAACAAACAAACCUAACUCUUCAGGGAAGACUGCUGAGGAAUUUUUGGGAAUGUUGGUUUUGUGCAGUGCCCAAGUGACCAGAGGAAUGAAAUGAAGACAAGUGGCAGUAAAAUAAUUCCAGAGGAUGCAUUUCCUGUGCUUUGAUGAAAUCUUGUCAGUAUUCAGGAAGCUACAGACUUGAACCUACAGUUUUGUCUGGGACUAUCCCAUGCACACGGGACUUGUUUCUCAUCCAGUUCUCCAGCACGAGUCACUGCUAUUUAGUGAUGCCUACUACUUUUCCUUAUUUUUCCCUUGCAAAAAAUAAAGAAACUGGAAUUGUGCCGUGUUCCCACAAACACUUUCUAUUGACCUUCAGCACAAACCAGCAGCUGGAAUCAGCAGCAGCCCUGAGAGGUGGCUCACAGUGUAGUGGAGCUGGAACCAAAGACCUAAACUUGUCCUGCCUCUCUUUAGUGUCUA